GUGAUUGCUUCAGCAGCACAUGUACUAAAAUUGGAACAAUACAGAAAUUAGCAUGGCCCCUGCCCAAGUAUGACAUGCAAAUGCAUGAAGCAUUCCAUAUUUUU